ACAAAUAUUAACUGACCACACAAAAAAAAUCAGAAGAGUUCUGAGAGAGAGAGAACGAAAGAGUCUGAACCCUAAAAUAUCGAUUUCAGCCAUUGCCGUUCAUCUCCUCACCGCCAUUGCCGCCAUGUCUCCUCCAUCAAAGCGUCGCCGGUGGAGUUAUGAGGACAAGGUGAUUGUGGAGCUUCUCAAUUUGUGGAGCUCUCGCCUCUCGAGAUAGUAAUGUUUUACAUCUUCCAUUUCUGUGUCGUUUUCCACGGCGGGUGCUGCAGCCGCUGGUUCUGCUUUUGCUCCAGCGGCUUGAAGCACUCAGAGGGGUUUGGGGGCGGACUCGGUGGCACUGGCUGAAUAGAUCUGUAAGGCGAGUGAGUGAAAGACUUUGGAAGCUUCGAUUGAAGCUAUCAAAUCUUAUGGAACUAAUUCUUAUGUCAUUCCGAGUCAUUGAGAAUUUUCAGGAAGAGUGCUAAUGCAAGCUUAUGUGACGGCUUCCCCUGCACUACUCCAAUACAUCGACAACAUCUUUCUUUCAAGAGAAUUGGGUUCUGUUAAGAAUUCAAGAACUCGAAUGCUCCAAGAUAAUCCACCUAGAACUUAAGAGAACCAAUGCAUAUUCCAAAGUCAAUUAUCAUUAG